GCCAUAGCCAUAUCACCCUGCAGCUCAAGAGCAGUUACUCACUGAAGCUGAGCAGGGCUGAGCCUGGACGGUGUCUGGAUGGGAGACCACAUGGGAACACUAGGAUGCUUUUGGCA
ensembl:rRNA 5S_rRNA 5S ribosomal RNA